GUCCCUAUCCAUCGUGGGCGUAGGAUAUUUGAAAGGAUCUGUCCCUAGUACGAGAGGACCGGGAUGGACGCAUCUAUGAUGCAUCUGUUGUCGCGCCAGCGGCACAGCAGGGUAGUGAAAUGCGGAAGGGAUAAACGCUGAAGGCAUCUAAGCGUGAAACCCACCUUAAGAUUAGAUAUCCCAGAUAGCAAUAUUGAGAGACCCCUUGAAGACUACAAGGUUGAUAGGUCGGGUGUGGAAGCGUAGCAAU
rnacentral:rRNA from 1 species